rnacentral:lncRNA from 1 species
UCCAUCUGUGUAGGAUUGGACCUGAGGAGAGGUGUCUAGCUUCAGUGCUAGUUGACCCAGAGUUUGUUGAGCAGUGGCUUCAGGUGAGUAGAACUAACUCAAUCUUUUACUUUAAGAAAAUCCAAUGUUUAAUGCAUCUUUUAUUUCAAAGAGUUCAAAUGCCUAAAGCAUAUGCAUGCAUCAUGUUUAUAUGUUAUAGGAUGAUUGCACUAGUUUCACGAAGGUGACGCAUUGCAUAAUGUGCUAUGUAUAUGAUGUGAAGGGUGGACCGAGGCGACUUCAAUAGCCCAUAUCUGUCAUAGAGUCUUGUCUAUGUCCUUUGGGAGCCGGACAAGUACAUGUAGGAAAGUCCUUGUGAGCUCUCUGUGGACCAGACACCAUGUCAUGUAUGUUACAGGCCUUUGUGAGCUUCUUUGGGGAGCCGGGCACCGACAGAGGGUAUUUUUGAGGUCAUGUCCAUCCUCUGAGAGGAAGGAUGCUAGCAUUUUACGAGGACUCUCAGAAACCAGGUUCCGUGGGGAAUGUAUGCUUGUGUGAACCCCGAGACGGAAAAAGUAUGUGAUUUCUCUGUGUUAUGACGCAUUUCAUGAAAGCAUAAAGAAAGAGAAAGAAUAAAAUGAAUAAUAAUAUACCUAAAAAUGGAGGAACUAAAUCAAAUGUUUUUUCUCUGUUUCUACUCACUGGGCUCUUGUAGCUCACCCCAUUCCCUUAACCCCAGUUUUGCAGGGCCAGAGUAAGUAAGCCAGAGUUCAGUCAGAAGAGCUAUGGGAUAGAAGAGGUUCAAGCAUGGGUUGCCAUGUUUGGUUGUAAUAGCUUAGCUUGUUUUGUUUAUGUUUAUGCAUAAGGAGAGAUGCUUAUUGUAUAUGUUUAUGGAGAUAGUAUGUGAUGUAAGUUGCUAAAGAGAUGAUAUGUUAUGUAAUGC